GCUUUCAAAGGAUAACAGCUCAUCCAUUGGUCU
rnacentral:tRNA from 1 species